GCCAAGGCGUAGGUCUCAUCUUGAUUUCCUGUUGAACUUUGAACUGAUAGAUGAAAAGAACCAGGAGGUGGUUUAACUUUCUUCAAAUAUAAAUCAUUCAAAGUUGACCCCUUGCUGCCUGGAACACCAAAUGUUUUGGCAUAGAUUGUUGCUUUAAACAAAGCUGUGCAGUCCCACUCCUCAAUUGAUUUCGUAGUUGGUAUAUCUGUUUUACCACCUUCAGAUUUAAGAAGCAUGUUCCGUACCGUGAUACUGUCAUCCCAUGGAAUGAAUCCUGGUCUUACAGCAACCUUGCUGUCCCACAUGGUGAUAAAAAUUUGACGCAACACCUUGGGAAACUCAUCAAGAAGUGUAGAAAACUUAAAGAAAUUCAAUUGUUCUUUGGAAAAUGGUUUCACUGCCAUCGUGGUGCAAAAUCUAGGCCAUCAAUUAAAUAUCUUUCUGUGCGAAGUAUC